rnacentral:rRNA from 1 species
UACGUAGGUGGCAAGCGUUGUCCGGAUUUACUGGGCGUAAAGAGCGCGCAGGCGGUCGUUCAAGUCGCGUGUGAAAGCCCCCGGCUCAACUGGGGAGGGUCACGCGAUACUGAUCGACUCGAAGGCAGGAGAGGGAAGUGGAAUUCCCGGUGUAGUGGUGAAAUGCGUAGAUAUCGGGAGGAACACCAGUGGCGAAGGCGGCAUCCUGGACCGACACUGACGCUGAGGAGCGAAAGCCAGGGGAGCAAACGGG